rnacentral:rRNA from 1 species
UACAGAGGGGGCAAGCGUUGUUCGGAAUUACUGGGCGUAAAGCGCGCGUAGGCGGCCCGCUAAGUCCAACGUGAAAUCCCCGAGCUCAACUCGGGAACUGCGUCCGAUACUGGCGGGCUUGAAUCCGGGAGAGGGAUGCGGAAUUCCAGGUGUAGCGGUGAAAUGCGUAGAUAUCAGGAAGAACACCAAUGGCGAAAGCAGCUUUCUGGGACGGUACUGACGCUGAGACGCGAAAGCGUGGGGAGCGAACAGG